rnacentral:rRNA from 1 species
AAUCAACGCUGGCGGCGUGCCUAACACAUGCAAGUCGCACGAGAAAGGGGACUUCGGUCCCUGAGUACAGUGGCGCACGGGUGAGUAACACGUGAAUCAUCUACCUUCGAGUGGGGAAUAACUGAGAGAAAUCUUAGCCAAUACCGCAUAAUACCUACGGGUCAAAGCAGCAAUGCGCUUGAAGAGGAGUUCGCGGCAGAUUAGUUAGUUGGCGGGGUAAUGGCCCACCAAGACGAUGAUCUGUAUCCGGCCUGAGAGGGCGCACGGACACACUGGAACUGAAACACGGUCCAGACUCCUACGGGAGGCAGCAGUGGGGAAUUUUGCGCAAUGGGGGAAACCCUGACGCAGCAACGCCGCGUGGAGGAUGAAAUCCCUUGGGAUGUAAACUCCUUUCGAUCGGGAAGAUAAUGACGGUACCGAGAGAAGAAGCCCCGGCUAACUUCGUGCCAGCAGCCGCGGUAAUACGAGGGGGGCAAGCGUUGUUCGGAAUUAUUGGGCGUAAAGGGUGCGUAGGCGGUUUGAUAAGUCACAUGUGAAAUCUUCGGGCUCAACCCGAAGUCUGCAUGCGAAACUGUCG